rnacentral:tRNA from 1 species
GCCCAGGUGGAGAAAUUGGCAGACUCACUACCUUGAGGUGGUAGCGCCGCAAGGCAUGCAGGUUCAAGUCCUGUCCUGGGCA